UCCCAUGCUCCCCUGUCAUUUCUGCUGCCUCUUCUACUGUUGCACAUCCAAACAGAACUUUUGGAAACUACGUUCUGGAAAAGAUAAGGAAGCUAAGGCCCAAUAAGGAUGCAUGACUGCAGGAUUCCCAAAGUUGCAAAUAAUGAAUGAAGACAUAUCAACUGCAGUCAAAUGCAGAAUGACAACAUGAAAUGAUUAGAUUUUCUUCUAACAAUGGAGAGAGCAAGCACUUCUUACAAAGACUGGUUCCCAAAGAGAGAACAUUAGAAUUCCAAGAGCCUUAUCAGAAAUCUUUUUUUCAUUAAUUGCCAGUUGCAAUUGCUAAUACAAGUUCUAUUUUUUCCAGGAGUAUGUAUUAAGAAUGGCUAAAUCAAUUGGGGUAAAAUGAAAAUUAAGUCUUCAUCCAAGCAAAGAACAAAAUUAAAGCUUUAGUUAAAUGAGUAUGAAAAAGGAAGACUGAUACAUGAGCUAGUCAGUGCAGAGACUAGUGUUGAGACAAAUUUCCCUCCUCCUCUCCAGUAGAGAGGUGAUGGUCUGUAUGUACAGAAUAAGCCUACAUUAAUAGACAUAGCCAAUGGGUUAGAUUGUUUUUCUAAACUAUAUCUCUUUGUUACAAGAAAAUCUAGGUGAGGGGGAGAAGGGAGUAGUACAGUUCUAGCCACUGUAUUGGCAAAAGACAAUUUUUUUAAAGCAUUAAUAAAAUAUUUGUCAAAAAAAGAGAAUUCACCUGCAUGCUGUUUUGGG